rnacentral:rRNA from 1 species
UACAGAGGGUGCGAGCGUUAAUCGGAAUUACUGGGCGUAAAGCGUGCGUAGACGGUUGUUUAAGUCAGAUGUGAAAGCCCCGGGCUCAACCUGGGAAUUGCAUUUGAGACUGCGUAGCUAGGGUGCGGAAGAGGGAAGCGGAAUUUCCGGUGUAGCGGUGAAAUGCGUAGAUAUCGGAAGGAACAUCAGUGGCGAAAGCGGCUUCCUGGUCCAGCACCGACGUUCAGGCACGAAAGCGUGGGGAGCAAACAGG